UCUCACCAUGGAGUCCAUCUCAGCUGGCUGGUUAGAACGCUUGUGGGCCAGCAGGAUGGUCAGCACUGCCUUCCAGCCUGGCUCUGCUGGGGCACUGGUUUCCUCCUCCGUUGUCUCAUGCUCCCUGGUUUCUUUGGCAAGUGUGAGAUUCACCCAAGGGCACCAAUCUCUAUGCUGAGAGGUGGGAUCAAAGAAGCUUCGGGGAGAGGUGUCCUGAGGGACAAAGAAGAGGCACAGUCUUACUAGGACAGAUGCUGGGCCUGGUCAGGGAGGCACUGCAGCCACUCAAGAAAGAGCUGCACUGUUGCACUGUUUAUAGGAACAUAAGUUCCUAGCUAGGAGGAGGCUGACCAAGGAAAAAACUCAGCAGGUGCAGCAGAACACUGAUCUUGUCUUCUGUCAAGGACUGCAAAGGAACCAAGGUUAAAAAGCAGCUCCACAGAAAGAAAACGCACUCACAAUAACGCACCUGGACUGGGGAACGCCAUGACUUGGAGACAACGUCUUCACAGGAGACAUGCUCUAGGGCAGGUCUAAGGUGUCACACAGAAUUUAGCUACCUAAAUUGCCAACUGAAAAAGGUAGCAGCUUUCAUUCUAAGUAUUAAAUGGCUCUCAACUUAUCAAUCGUAAAUUUUACCUAAAACUUGUGACCUUUGAAGCCAAAUAAUAAAAACAUUACUAUUAAUGUCUUGA